rnacentral:rRNA from 1 species
GGUUAAGCGACUAAGCGUACACGGUGGAUGCCCUGGCAGUCAGAGGCGAUGAAGGACGUGCUAAUCUGCGAAAAGCGCCGGCGAGGUGAUAUGAACCCUUGACCCGGCGAUGUCCGAAUGGGGAAACCCAGUGCAAUCCGUUGCACUAUCGUUAACUGAAUACAUAGGUUAACGAGGCGAACCGGGGGAACUGAAACAUCUAAGUACCCCGAGGAAAAGAAAUCAACCGAGAUUCCCCCAGUAGCGGCGAGCGAACGGGGAGCAGCCCGGAGUCUGAAUCAGCUUGUGUGUUAGUGGAACGGUCUGGAAAGUCCGACGGUACAGGGUGAUAGUCCCGUACACGAAAGCACACAUGCUGUGAACUCGAAGAGUAGGGCGGGACACGUGGUAUCCUGUCUGAAUAUGGGGGGACCAUCCUCCAAGGCUAAAUACUCCUGACUGACCGAUAGUGAACCAGUACCGUGAGGGAAAGGCGAAAAGAACCCCGGCGAGGGGAGUGAAAAAGAACCUGAAACCGUGUACGUACAAGCAGUGGGAGCCUCUUUAUGGGGUGACUGCGUACCUUUUGUAUAAUGGGUCAGCGACUUAUAUUCUGUAGCAAGGUUAACCGUAUAGGGGAGCCGAAGGGAAACCGAGUCUUAACUGGGCGUUAAGUUGCAGGGUAUAGACCCGAAACCCGGUGAUCUAGCCAUGGGCAGGUUGAAGGUUGGGUAACACUAACUGGAGGACCGAACCGACUAAUGUUGAAAAAUUAGCGGAUGACCUGUGGCUGGGGGUGAAAGGCCAAUCAAACCGGGAGAUAGCUGGUUCUCCCCGAAAGCUAUUUAGGUAGCGCCUCGUGAACUCAUCUUCGGGGGUAGAGCACUGUUUCGGCUAGGGGGCCAUCCCGGCUUACCAACCCGAUGCAAACUACGAAUACCGAAGAAUGUUAUCACGGGAGACACACGGCGGGUGCUAACGUCCGUCGUGAAGAGGGAAACAACCCAGACCGCCAGCUAAGGUCCCAAAGUCAUGGUUAAGUGGGAAACGAUGUGGGAAGGCACAGACAGCCAGGAUGUUGGCUUAGAAGCAGCCAUCAUUUAAAGAAAGCGUAAUAGCUCACUGGUCGAGUCGGCCUGCGCGGAAGAUGUAACGGGGCUAAACCAUGCACCGAAGCUGCGGCAGCGACACUAUGUGUUGUUGGGUAGGGGAGCGUUCUGUAAGCCGUUGAAGGUG